rnacentral:lncRNA from 1 species
CCGGCACAAAGUUUAACGAUAAAUAAGAUAUGUUUUCUUAUUAGGCACUUUUCUUUUCGGAUCAACUUUUUUUUUAUUUUGAUAUAAUUCUGCAGAACAACUUUAGUAUCAACAUGGCCCAGAUAGAAUUAAGCUACACAAUUUGUAUUAUAAAAUUUGGAAAGUUAAUUUCCACAUUGAUUGGGUGGUUAUCUAAUUGAUUAAUAUAUUUAGGUUUUUUUUUUUCUGUUCGAAUGGAUACCUUUAACUUAAUUCUAGUCGUAAAGAUGAAAGUACCACAGAAGCAGAGUGAUUAAUCUUAGAGUGGGCUUGCUCCAGUUAGGUCCAUUAGGGUGGCGAUUGGUUUUUCCGCUACCACCCGCAAACGCAGCUUUUGCGGUCGGUAGCGGUUGUCAGCGGUUUGCAACAAUCACUCAAAUCGCUCUAAACCGCUUCAAACCGCUCCGAAUCUCAUAAAUUCAAAAGCUGGCUCCAGCUAGCGUUUGCGGUUGCGGGAGGGUAAAAAUUUUUUUUUUUUAAAACAAUAUAUAUACAAAGAAAAAAAUAUUUAAUAAAAAAUUUAAAAUUGAAAUUAUGAAAAUAUUAAAAUAUAUCUAUUUUAUUUUAAUUAAUAUUAUAAAAUUUUAUAAUAAAAAAAAUUUCAAUAAAUUUUCAAAAAUUAAAAUUAUAACUUUCUAAAUAUAAAUUUUAUAUUUAUUAUAAUUUUGUGAUUUUUGAUAUUUUUAUAAUUAUAUUAAAUGUAAAUAUUGUUAAUUUAUUAUUUGACUGUUACCGCAUUUGGUAGUUAACCAGUCAUAAGUCAUCCGCAAACGCACCAAUUUUUAACCGCAGUACCAGUCGUACAAAUCUCUUAAAACCGCUAGAAACCGCAACCGCCCGCAUCCACAAACUCUCGCAACCGCAGCCGCUGCGUUUGAACCAGUCAGGCCCUAAGUUACAUCUGAUGAUAACGCACGCGAUACCACUGGUUGUCACGUUGCGUAACCCUGACCAUUGAUUGUUGAAAUGUCACCA